rnacentral:rRNA from 1 species
GAUGAACGCUGGCGGCGUGCCUAAUACAUGCAAGUCGAGCGAAGGGACGAGAAGCUUGCUUCUCUGAUGUUAGCGGCGGACGGGUGAGUAACACGUGGAUAACCUACCUAUAAGACUGGGAUAACUUCGGGAAACCGGAGCUAAUACCGGAUAAUAUUUUGAACCGCAUGGUUCAAAAGUGAAAGACGGUCUUGCUGUCACUUAUAGAUGGAUCCGCGCUGCAUUAGCUAGUUGGUAAGGUAACGGCUUACCAAGGCAACGAUGCAUAGCCGACCUGAGAGGGUGAUCGGCCACACUGGAACUGAGACACGGUCCAGACUCCUACGGGAGGCAGCAGUAGGGAAUCUUCCGCAAUGGGCGAAAGCCUGACGGAGCAACGCCGCGUGAGUGAUGAAGGUCUUCGGAUCGUAAAACUCUGUUAUUAGGGAAGAACAUAUGUGUAAGUAACUGUGCACAUCGUGACGGUACCUAAUCAGAAAGCCACGGCUAACUACGUG